CCCUUAGAUGUUCUGGGCCGCACGCGCGCUACACUGAUGCAUUCAACGAGUCUAAAACCUGGUCUGAUAGGGCUGGGUAAUCUUUUGAAAGUGCAUCGUGAUUGGGAUAGAUGAUUGCAAUUCUUCAUCUUCAACGAGGAAUGCCUAGUAAACGCAAGUCAUCAGCUUGCAUUGAUUACGUCCCUGCCCUUUGUACACACCGCCCGUCGCUCCUACCGAUUGAAUGGUCCGGUGAGGACUCGGGAUUUUUACCAGUUUCCUUCAUUGGGAAUUGGUGAGGAGAACUUGUCCAAACCUUAUCAUUUAGAGGAAGGUGAAGUCGUAACA
rnacentral:rRNA from 1 species